CUUUUUUUUAAGUUAUAGGUGGACACAGUAAUCUUUAUUUUUAUGUAGUGCUGAGGAUUGAACCCAGUGCCUCAUGUGUGUUUGGCAAGCGCUCUACCUCUGAGCCACAACCCCAGCGCAAAAAAAACAUUCUUUACUUGUGCUGCCAGUCAUUACCCAAGCUUUUGCUUUUGACUUACCUAAACUAUCAAAGUUAGGGGUAAAAUAAAUGAGAUUUCUCUAACAAAAUUUAUGGUAAAUUGGGAGAAAAAGUGAGAUCAGAGAGGAUAUAUUUAAUUCCUAAAUAGUGAAUUCUUUGCAGAUAUUAACACAUUAUUAAAGUGAUAUUUGAGUCUGUACAGUGAACAAGGCUUCUACCUGAGCAUGCUUGACUAGUUACUUCUAUUACUGAGACUGAAAAUUUAAUAUUUCUAAACAUACUUUUUGGUUGAAAACAGAUUUACCCAAAACCUCCAAUCUGGUGAUUUAGAACAACUCUCCAUGGACAUAUGUAGAGUAAAUUAGCAUUGUUGAAUGAAUUAAGAAAUCAGACUAACUCAAAAAUUUAAAAUUGAAAUUUUAAUUGAGUCAAGGCAAAAUUUUACUUUGGCCACCAAAAUUUCAGAAAAUGUUUUCUAAUUAGGGAAUAAUCCCUGAAAUAAUUAGAACCUAGGGGAGAGGAUUACUUUUUCUUUUAGACAGGCAAUAUUCCUGAACAAUUUCAGCUUGUUAAUUUACAUUGGUUUCUCCCUAACUAGAACUCAAUGGAGU
rnacentral:lncRNA from 1 species